UACAGAGGUCCCAAGCGUUGUUCGGAUUCAUUGGGCGUAAAGGGUGCGUAGGCGGCGCGGUAAGUCGGGUGUGAAAUUUCGGAGCUUAACUCCGAAACUGCAUUCGAUACUGCCGUGCUUGAGGACUGGAGAGGAGACUGGAAUUUACGGUGUAGCGGUGAAAUGCGUAGAUAUCGUAAGGAAGACCAGUGGCGAAGGCGGGUCUCUGGACAGUUCCUGACGCUGAGGCACGAAGGCCAGGGGAGCAAACGGGGAUUAGAACCGUACCGUCAG
rnacentral:rRNA from 1 species